AAGUCGUAACAAGGUUUCCGUAGGUGAACCUGCGGAAGGAUCAUUACCAAUAAUAAAUUAUCAAACCCUUGUGCACUGUUGUGAAUGUCUCGGUUUUUGGGGUGGACUGUUUAUGGUUCACCCCAGCCAUUUUGUUAAACAACUUUAUAUAUUUUGUCAUGGCAUCAUCACUUGUCUUAAUAAAUAUUAUGACAACUUUUAACGGUGGAUCUCUUGGCUCGUGGAUCGA
rnacentral:misc_RNA from 1 species